rnacentral:rRNA from 1 species
AUUGAACGCUGGCGGCAGGCCUAACACAUGCAAGUCGAGCGGAUGAAGGGAGCUUGCUCCUGUAUUCAGCGGCGGACGGGUGAGUAAUGCCUAGGAAUCUGCCUGGUAGUGGGGGAUAACGUCCGGAAACGGGCGCUAAUACCGCAUACGUCCUGAGGUAGAAAGUGAGGGAUCUUCGGACCUCACGCUAUCAGAUGAGCCUAGGUCGGAUUAGCUAGUUGGUGGGGUAAAGGCCUACCAAGGCGACGAUCCGUAACUGGUCUGAGAGGAUGAUCAGUCACACUGGAACUGAGACACGGUCCAGACUCCUACGGGAGGCAGCAGUGGGGAAUAUUGGACAAUGGGCGAAAGCCUGAUCCAGCCAUGCCGCGUGUGUGAAGAAGGUCUUCGGAUUGUAAAGCACUUUAAGUUGGGAGGAAGGGAAGUAAGUUAAUACCUUGCUGUUUUGACGUUACCAACAGAAUAAGCACCGGCUAACUUCGUG